AGUGUUACAAGGAAACUUGGAGAGCCAUUCUGCUGCCCACUCUGGAGCUGGAGAAGGCCAAACUGCACCUGCAGAUCUCAGCCAACCAAGGAGGUCUUUCCCAGAGUCAUGGGACUCAAGUUUGUCCAUUUUGUCUCAAACAUCAUUAGGAAUGGAUGUAACAGAAAAGCAUCUUGUCAGCUCCUGUUUACUACCCAAGCCUGCCACAUUGAGCCUCUACUCAGUGCCGGCACUGGGCCAGGCCUUGCAGCCACAGAGACAGUAAAGCACCACAGUCUAAAGCCAAAAAACAGACACGUAAACAAAUAGUGAUGCAUGAAGGGUGAGUUAAUGGCAUCCCAGUAGUUAAAGAACAGCUUCCCUAUUGGGACACAAGGGGUGAUCAAAUAUACAGUGAAUGCUUAAAUUUUUUUUUUUUUUUCCAGUACCAGGGAUCGAACUUGGGUCCUUGCACUUGCAAGGCAGGCAGCGGAACCACUGAGCUAAAUCCCCGGCCAAAUGCUUAAAUUUUUAAAAAUUGUAUUACAGUAAAAGACACAUUGCCACUAUUCUUCCCUUAAAAUUCUCUCUCUCCUUUUUUUUUUAUUUGGUACCCGGGAUCGAACUUGGGUCCUUGUGCUUGUGCAGCAGGCGGCGAAACCACUGAGCUAAAUCCCCAGCCCCUCUCUCUCCUUUUGAACGCACUUCUCCCUUU
rnacentral:lncRNA from 1 species